CAUGUCUGGGGUGGGCUCAUCUGAUUCAGUGCCACCUGAGAGUCAGACUCAAGAGCCAGGGACAGACUCGGGGCCAGAAGAGCCGCUGCCGGCUAAAAGGCAGCGGCAUGACCCUGUCCUUGAACUGCUGCAGAGGGCAGAAGAGAGAGCAGAAGAGAGGGCCAGGCGAGAUGAGGCUCAAUUAUGUCUCUAUCUCUGAGACAGAAGUUGUGCAAAAUGGCACAACAUGCAAUGACCCUCACGGCGAAAACAGGAUGCACUUCCAGAGCCUUGAAAAACACGGAUCGCCACCUGGUCUUCAUGAUGCCAAAUGCCUGUUCAAUAACAGAUCGAGCCUUUGAUGUCUGUUGAACCUGGCUGCCACUGGAUUUCUCACUGGCUCUCUGUAUAGUGGUGAUGCGUGUGAUGGGUUGUGAUGUACAUGGGUAUCUACCAUCACCAAGAAGACAGUACCCCUCAGGUGGGUGCAAUCUGCCGACAUAUAACAGGCUGUUUUUAAGAACUCGAGAGUCAUGGACAGAACCUGGGGAACCGACAAAUAUGUCCAGAAAUGGACACUGGUGGUCACACACUGCUUGCAUUUGAAUUGAAUAAAAAAGUUUUCUAUUAAAAUAGCACUGAGCAUCAGCACUUGGUGGCUUGAUUCUGACUUGACAGCCAUCAGUGCUACCCACAACCUUUUCAAAUGCAGCCGAUCCCGCCAGACGUUGAAAGCCAGCACCAACUCUUGGAAGCUCGUCUGCUGAUGAAAAGCAGAUGACCCUGUUUUUGAGUGCGAUGACUUUGUCUGCAACCCUGUGAAUGAUGUCACUCACCAUAGAGUGUGGGAUGCCAAACGCUCUGGACACAACAUGGUCGGAGGUUGCACUUGCGAGCCAAAAAAGAAAUACCAGAACCUCCAAUUCCUGACCCGAGCCAUGGUCACAUGGAGAUCAGAGGAUGUGGGUUAGGUGGCUUAUUGUGGGUCUGGAGAGGCGGAAGUCAGGCCGCAGAUCACUUUGGCCAUCCAGGAAUAAGGCAAUGAGUGGAAUAUGACUGUUGAAGAUAUGAUUGUGUAUGCUGAAAAUAAAAAUAUUCAAACUUA